UACGUAGGGGGCUAGCGUUAUCCGGAUUUACUGGGUGUAAAGGGAGCGUAGACGGUUGUAUAAGUCUGGAGUGAAAGCCCGGGGCCCAACCCCGGGACUGCUUUGGAAACUGUGUAACUUGAGUACAGGAGGGGCAGGCGGAAUUCCUGGUGUAGCGGUGAAAUGCGUAGAUAUCAGGAGGAACACCGGCGGCGAAGGCGGCCUGCUGGACUGAAACUGACGUUGAGGCUCGAAAGCGUGGGGAGCAAACAGG
rnacentral:rRNA from 1 species